AGCCGUGCAGUGAGCACAAAGUGAACUAUUCUUUCACCUUUUACUAAAGAAUACCGUGUGCUCAUCGCAAAUAGCGACGUACACCACUUUUUGGAGGGGUCUUUUCCGAUUGGUAAU
rnacentral:snRNA from 1 species